rnacentral:rRNA from 1 species
UACGGGGGGGGCAAGCGUUGUUCGGAAUUACUGGGCGUAAAGGGCUCGUAGGCGGCCAACUAGGUCAGACGUGAAAUCCCUCGGCUUAACCGGGGAACUGCCUCUGAUACUGGAUGGCUUGAGAUUGGGAGAGGGAUGCGGAAUUCCAGGUGUAGCGGUGAAAUGCGUAGAUAUCUGGAGGAACACCGGUGGCGAAGGCGGCAUCCUGGACCGGUAUUGACGCUGAGGAGCGAAAGCUAGGGGAGCAAACGGG